rnacentral:rRNA from 1 species
UACGGGGGGGGCUAGCGUUGUUCGGAAUUACUGGGCGUAAAGGGCGCGUAGGCGGUCUACUAAGUUGGAUGUGAAAACUCUGGGCUUAACCCAGAGCCUGCAUUCAAAACUGAUAGGCUAGGAGUUCUGGAGGGGAUAGCGGAAUUCCUGGUGUAGGCGGUAGAAAUGCGUAGAUAUCAGGAGGAACACCGGUGGCGAAGGCGGCUAUCUGGACAGAAACUGACGCUGAGGCGCGAAAGCUAGGGGAGCAAACAGG